AUUGAACGCUGGCGGCAUGCCUUACACAUGCAAGUCGAACGGCAGCGGGGGAGAAGCUUGCUUUUCCUGCCGGCGAGUGGCGAACGGGUGAGUAAUACAUCGGCACGUGCCCUGUAGUGGGGGAUAACUAGUCGAAAGAUUAGCUAAUACCGCAUACGACCUGAGGGUGAAAGCGGGGGACCGCAAGGCCUCAUGCUAUAGGAGCGGCCGAUGUCUGAUUAGCUAGUUGGGGGGGUAAAGGCCUACCAAGGCGACGAUCAGUAGCUGGUCUGAGAGGACGAUCAGCCACACUGGGACUGAGACACGGCCCAGACUCCUACGGGAGGCAGCAGUGGGGAAUUUUGGACAAUGGGCGAAAGCCUGAUCCAGCAAUGCCGCGUGUGUGAAGAAGGCCUUCGGGUUGUAAAGCACUUUUGUCCGGAAAGAAAUGGCUCUGGUUAAUACCUGGGGUCGAUGACGGUACCGGAAGAAUAAGGACCGGCUAACUACGUGCCAGCAGCCCCGUAA
rnacentral:rRNA from 1 species